UUAAGGGUGCAGGGCGGAUGCCUUGGCACUAGGAGCCGAUGAAGGACGUGAUAAGCUGCGAUAAGCUUCGGGGAGUUGCACGUAAACUUUGAUCCGAAGAUUUCCGAAUGAGGAAACUCACUUAGAGUAAUGUCUAAGUAUCAUUAAGUGAAUACAUAGCUUAAUGAGGGGAACUCAGGGAACUGAAACAUCUAAGUACCUGAAGGAAGAGAAAGAAAUUCGAUUCCGUAAGUAGCGGCGAGCGAACGCGGAUUAGCCCAAACCAAUAAAGUUUUCUUUAUUGGGGUUGCGGACAUAUCAUAACGAAGAGGUAUCGUAAUUGAAGAGGUUUGGAAAGACCCACCACAGAAGGUAAUAGUCCUGUAUGUUAAACGAGAAGACUUCAGAUAUGAUCCAGAGUACCACGGGACACGUGAAACCCUGUGGGAAGCAGGAGGGACCACCCUCCAAGGCUAAAUACUACCUAGUGACCGAUAGCGUAUAGUACCGUGAGGGAAAGGUGAAAAGAACCCCGGGAGGGGAGUGAAAUAGAACCUGAAACCCUGCACUUACAAGCUGUGGAAGCACAUUUCUUGUGUGACCGCGUACUUUUUGUAGAACGGGCCAACGAGUUACGUUAAGUAGCAAGGUUAAGCACUUAAGGUGCGGAGCCGUAGCGAAAGCGAGUUUUAACUGAGCGUUCAGUUACUUGACGUAGACCCGAAACCGGGCGACCUACCCAUGAGCAGGAUGAAGCGAAAGUAAAAUUUCGUGGAGGUCCGAACCCACGAGCGUUGAAAAGCUCGGGGAUGACUUGUGGGUAGCGGUGAAAUUCCAAUCGAGCCCGGAGAUAGCUGGUUCUCCCCGAAAUAGCUUUAGGGCUAGCCUCAAGGUGAGAGAUACGGAGGUAGAGCACUGAAUGUCCUAGGGGGUAUUGCACCUACCGAAGACUAUCAAACUCCGAAUGCCGUCAUCUUAUACUUGGGAGUCAGACUGUGGGUGAUAAGAUUCAUAGUCGAAAGGGCAACAGCCCAGAUCGUCAGCUAAGGUCCCUAAAUGUAAGUUAAGUGGUAAAGGAUGUGGGAUUGCACAGACAACCAGGAUGUUGGCUUAGAAGCAGCCACUCAUUCAAAGAGUGCGUAAUAGCUCACUGGUCGAGUGAUCCUGCGCCGAAGAUUUCCGGGGCUAAAACUUACUACCGAAGCUACGGCAUCAUUAUGAUGGGUAGGGGAGCUUCCCAUACGGGUUGAAGCAUGACCGUAAGGACAUGUGGACAGUAUGGGAGUGAGAAUGUUGGCAUGAGUAGCGAGAUGUGGGUGAGAAUCCCACAGGCCGUAAACCCAAGGUUUCCAGGGGAAGGUUCGUCCGCCCUGGGUUAGUCGGGACCUAAGCUGAGGCCGAAAGGCGUAGGUGAUGGACAACAGGUUGAUAUUCCUGUACUACCGAUAACCGUUUGAGAGAAGGGAUGACACAGUAGGAUAAGCUAAGCACACUGUUGGUUAUGUGUGCCCAAGCAUUGAGGCAGUCAAAGCAGGCAAAUCCGCUUUGAUAAUGCUGGGAUGUGAUGGGGAGCGAAAUUUAGUAGCGAAGUAGCUGAUUUCACACUGUCAAGAAAAGUCUCUAUCGAGGUUAAAGGUACCCGUACCGCAAACCGACACAGGUGGGUGAGGAGAGUAUCCUAAGGCCAGCGAGAGAACUGUUGUUAAGGAACUCGGCAAAAUGACCCCGUAACUUAGGGAUAAGGGGUGCCACCAUCCGGUGGCCGCAGAGAAUAGGCCCAAGCGACUGUUUACCAAAAACAUAGGUUUCUGCUAAGUCGCAAGACGAUGUAUAGGAGCUGACGCCUGCCCGGUGCUGGAAGGUUAAGGGGAUCUGUUAGAGCAAUCGAAGCAGUGAACUUAAGCCCCAGUAAACGGCGGCCGUAACUAUAACGGUCCUAAGGUAGCGAAAUUCCUUGUCGGGUAAGUUCCGACCCGCACGAAAGGCGUAACGAUUUGGGCACUGUCUCAACAACAGACUCGGUGAAAUUGUAAUUCCGGUGAAGAUGCCGGAUACCUGCGACAGGACGGAAAGACCCCAUGGAGCUUUACUGUAGCUUGACAUUGGGUCUUGGUACUACAUGUACAGGAUAGGUGGGAGGCUUUGAAACCAGGACGCCAGUUUUGGCGGAGCCAUCCUUGGGAUACCACCCUUGUAGUACUGGGACUCUAACCAUAGGCCAUGAAUCUGGUCUUGGGACACUGUCAGGUGGGCAGUUUGACUGGGGCGGUCGCCUCCCAAAAGGUAACGGAGGCGCUCAAAGGUUCUCUCAGUACGGUCGGAAAUCGUACGUAGAGUGUAAAGGCAAAAGAGAGCUUGAUUGCAAGACAUACAGGUCGAGCAAGGAUGAAAAUCGGACUUAGUGAUCCGGUGGUUCUGCGUGGAAGGGCCAUCGCUCAACGGAUAAAAGCUACCCUGGGGAUAACAGGCUUAUCUCCCCCAAGAGUCCACAUCGACGGGGAGGUUUGGCACCUCGAUGUCGGCUCAUCACAUCCUGGGGCUGUAGUAGGUCCCAAGGGUUGGGCUGUUCGCCCAUUAAAGUGGUACGCGAGCUGGGUUCAGAACGUCGUGAGACAGUUCGGUCCCUAUCCGUCGCAGGCGUAGGAAAUUUGAGAAGACCUGUCCUUAGUACGAGAGGACCGGGAUGGACGUACCUCUGGUGUACCAGUUGUUCUGCCAAGGGCAUGGCUGGGUAGCUAUGUACGGAAUGGAUAAGCGCUGAAAGCAUCUAAGCGCGAAGCCAACUUCAAGAUAAGAUUUCCCACCGCAAGGGUAAGACCCCAGAAAGACUAUCUGGUUGAUAGGUCGAAGGUGUAAGUGCAGCAAUGUAUUUAGCUUAUCGAUACUAAUAGGUCGAGGACUUGACCAA
rnacentral:rRNA from 1 species